rnacentral:misc_RNA from 1 species
UACGGAGGGGGCAAGCGUUGUUCGGAAUUACUGGGCGUAAAGGGCGCGUAGGCGGCCCUUCAAGUUAGGGGUGAAAGGCCCGGGCUCAACCUGGGAACUGCAUUUAAAACUGUGGGUCUUGAGUCCGAGAGUGGAUGGCGGAAUACCCAGUGUAGGGGUGAAAUUCGUAGAUAUUGGGUAGAACACCGGUGGAGAAGGCGGCCAUCUGGCUCGUCACUGACGCUGAGGCGCGAAAGCGUGGGGAGCAAACAGG